rnacentral:rRNA from 2 species
GGGGAAUAUUGGGCAAUGGGCGCAAGCCUGACCCAGCAACGCCGCGUGAAGGAAGAAGGCUCUCGGGUUGUAAACUUCUUUUAUUCGGGACGAAAAAAAUGACGGUACCGAAUGAAUAAGCCACGGCUAACUACGUGCCAGCAGCCGCGGUAAUACGUAGGUGGCAAGCGUUAUCCGGAUUUACUGGGUGUAAAGGGCGUGUAGGCGGGACAACAAGUCAGAUGUGAAAUCCCCGGGCUCAACCCGGGAACUGCAUUCCAAACUGGGUAUCUAGAGUGCAGGAGAGGAAAGCGGAAUUCCUAGUGUAGCGGUGAAAUGCGUAGAUAUUAGGAGGAACACCAGUGGCGAAGGCGGCUUUCUGGACUGUAACUGACACUGAGGCAUGAAAGCGUGGGUAGCAAACA